rnacentral:rRNA from 1 species
AGUGGCGCACGGGUGAGUAACACGUGGGAAUCUGCCUACUGGUGGGGAAUAACCUUUGGAAACGAAGGCUAAUACCGCAUAAGCCCUGAGGGGGAAAGAUUUAUUGCCAGUAGAUGAGCCCGCGUUAGAUUAGCUUGUUGGUGAGGUAAUGGCUCACCAAGGCUACGAUCUAUAGCUGGUCUGAGAGGAUGGUCAGCCACACUGGGACUGAGACACGGCCCAGACUCCUACGGGAGGCAGCAGUGGGGAAUAUUGGACAAUGGGGGAAACCCUGAUCCAGCGAUGCCGCGUGAGUGAAGAAGGCCCUAGGGUUGUAAAGCUCUUUCAGAAGGGAAGAUAAUGACGGUACCUUCAGAAGAAGCACCGGCUAACUUCGUGCCAGCAGCCGCGGUAAUACGAAGGGUGCAAGCGUUGUUCGGAAUUACUGGGCGUAAAGAGCGUGUAGGCGGUCUAUCAAGUCAGACGUGAAAUCCCUGGGCUUAACCCAGGAAUUGCGUUUGAAACUGAUAGGCUUGAGAUUCAGAGGGGUGAGUGGAAUUCCUAGCGUAGAGGUGAAAUUCGUAGAUAUUAGGAGGAACACCAGUGGCGAAGGCGACUCACUGGCUCGNUACUGACGCUGAGGCGCGAAAGCGUGGGGANCAAACAGGAUUAGAUACCCUGGUAGUCCACGCNNUAAAC